UACGUAGGGUGCAAGCGUUGUCCGGAAUCAUUGGGCGUAAAGCGCGUGUAGGCGGCUCGGUAAGUCCGCUCUGAAAGCCCGGGGCUCAACCCCGGGAGGCGGGUGGAUACUGCUGAGCUCGAGUCCGGAAGAGGAGUGUGGAAUUCCUGGUGUAGCGGUGAAAUGCGCAGAUAUCAGGAGGAACACCAAUGGCGAAGGCAGCUCGCUGGAACGGAACUGACGGCUGAGGCGCGAAAGCGUGGGGAGCGAACAGG
rnacentral:rRNA from 1 species